rnacentral:rRNA from 1 species
UACGUAGGGUGCAAGCGUUAUCCGGAAUUAUUGGGCGUAAAGAACUCGUAGGCGGUUUGUCGCGUCUGCUGUGAAAACUGGAGGCUCAACCUCCAGCCUGCAGUGGGUACGGGCAGACUAGAGUGCGGUAGGGGAGAUUGGAAUUCCUGGUGUAGCGGUGAAAUGCGCAGAUAUCAGGAGGAACACCGGUGGCGAAGGCGGGUCUCUGGGCCGUAACUGACGCUGAGGAGCGAAAGCGUGGGGAGCGAACAGG